rnacentral:rRNA from 1 species
AUUGAACGCUGGCGGCAUGCCUUACACAUGCAAGUCGAACGGCAGCGGGCCUUCGGGUGCCGGCGAGUGGCGAACGGGUGAGUAAUGCAUCGGAACGUGCCAUUGAGUGGGGGAUAACGUAGCGAAAGUUGCGCUAAUACCGCAUAUUCUGUGAGCAGGAAAGCAGGGACCGCAAGGCCUUGCGCUCUUUGAGCGGCCGAUGUCAGAUUAGCUAGUUGGUGAGGUAAAGGCUUACCAAGGCGACGAUCUGUAGCGGGUCUGAGAGGAUGAUCCGCCACACUGGAACUGAGACACGGUCCAGACUCCUACGGGAGGCAGCAGUGGGGAAUUUUGGACAAAUGGGGGCAACCCUGAUCCAGCCAUGCCGCGUGAGUGAAG